rnacentral:lncRNA from 1 species
UUGCGGCCCCGCCCCGGCCCCGCCCCUCACCCGGCGCCGCCCCCGCGCCUCCCCCGGGCCUGGCGGGAGUAGUAGCUGUGCUCCUUGGGGUCCAGGGGCCGCGGUGGGACGUAGCUGAAGGCGGACAGUACCGAGACGGUCGGCGGCCGGGGCUUGCCCCGCAGCGUGGCGGCGGUGAUCUCCUCCUCGUCCUCCAGGCCUCCCUCUUCCAGCUUCUCGGCCGAGGAGCCACGGACCAGAAGUGGAAGACGCAGGUGGAAUUCAACGCCACCGUAUAUUAACCUAGUGUGUCCGCCGCAGCAUCGGUCAACAUGCAGGGAACCGUAUUUCAGGGCCUCAGUCACCCCUGAUGCCGGUGUGCAGCAGCAUGAAUCGAAUCGAACCACGUGGAAUCUGGCAAAACAGCUGUUCCGGAGCGCUCUCCUGUUUCUUGAGCCGAAUGCUGGUUCAAAAGGUGUGUUACGUUUGUUGAAAGUUAACUCAACUUGAAAGCCUGAGAUAUGUGUGUGUGUGUAUCAAUAAAAUGAAAAGGGGAACAAAACAGGCUCGGGAAUACUUUAACCAGGGCGGCUCUAGGAAGGUUGGCCUGAAACACAAACGAUAAUGAGGAGCCGGACUUGUGAAAUCCGGGAGACCGUGGGUCGUUCCAGGCAGAGGGAAGAGCAUCUGUGGUGGCCCUGAGGCCGAGCCCAUUGAUGUGCGGGCUGUAGAAAGGGAGGACGAGGACGGUGCAGCUUCCAGAAGGGGAA